rnacentral:misc_RNA from 1 species
GAUGAAGAACGUAGCGAAAUGCGAUAAGUAGUGUGAAUUGCAGAAUUCAGUGAAUCAUCGAAUCUUUGAACGCACAUUGCGGCCAUAGGUAUUCCUUUGGCCAUGCCUGUUCGAGCGUCAUUUACACCCUCAAGCCUAGCUUGGUGUUGGGCGUCUGUCCUGCCGUUUUCGCGCGCGGACUCGCCUCAAAGUCAUUGGCGGCGGUCGUGCCGGCCCCCUCGCGCAGCACAUUUGCGCUUCUCGGAGGCCCGGCGGAUCCGCGCUCCAGCAAGACCUUUCACGACUUGACCUCGGAUCAGGUAGGGAUACCCGCUGAACUUAAGCAUAUCAAUAAGCGGAGGA